CCUACGGGAGGCAGCAGUGGGGAAUAUUGCGCAAUGGGCGAAAGCCUGACGCAGCGACGCCGCGUGAGGGAUGAAGGUCUUCGGAUCGUAAACCUCUGUCAGCAGGGAAGAACGGUCACUGUGCUAAUCAGCAGUGAAUUGACGGUACCUGCAAAGGAAGCACCGGCUAACUCCGUGCAAGCAGCCGCGGUAAUACGGAGGGUGCGAGCGUUAAUGGGAAUUACUGGGCGUAAAGCGCUCGUAGGCGGUAUGUCAAGUCAAGGGUGAAAUCACCGAGCUCAACGUGGGAACUGCCUUUGAAGCGGGCAACCUGGAGUGUGGGAGAGGAUAGUGGAAUUCCAGGGGUAGGAGUGAA
rnacentral:rRNA from 1 species